GAUAGCAUCAUACUCUUUUUAUUGUUCUUGUUCCAAGUGUCAGACAAACCCAUCUAAAAUACAUUAGACAAUGAAGAAUAUAUAUUGGCUUCUACAACUGAGAAGUGCAAAGCUAAAAGAAAGUUUAGCCCAAGGGUGCUGUCAGAGUCUCUAUUUGCCAUCUCUGCGGUGAGUUCUCUAAGACCGGCUUCAUUCUUACACAGCCUUCCUCAUGAUGUCCAAAUGGCUACUGAAAUCCAAAGCACCAAACUCACAUAUUGGCAAAUUGUUCUGUCUCAAAGCACCAUGCAGAAAAAGCUCAGAGAAGGGAACAGAGAAGUCUAUGGUUGAUACACAACCACAUACAAUUCAACCCAAAAGCAAGGGGCACAACCAAGCACACUGGUAAUCUGAAAAGUUAUCAUGAAGGCCUUGUACAGGGACAAAUAUUAUUGUAUUAAUAAAACUAUGUUAUUAGUGCUUU